CCUACGGGUGGCUGCAGUGGGGAAUAUUGGACAAUGGGGGGAACCCUGAUCCAGCCAUGCCGCGUGUGUGAAGAAGGCCCUCGGGUUGUAAAGCACUUUCAGUGGGGAAGAACUCGUGGUUGCUAAUACUCGGCAGGGAAGACAUCACCCACAGAAGAAGCACCGGCUAACUCCGUGCCAGCAGCCGCGGUAAUACGGAGGGUGCGAGCGUUAAUCGGAAUUACUGGGCGUAAAGCGCGCGUAGGUGGCUUGGUAAGCCGGUUGUGAAAGCCCCGGGCUCAACCUGGGAACGGCAUCCGGAACUGCCAAGCUAGAGUGUAGGAGAGGAAGGUAGAAUUCCCGGUGUAGCGGUGAAAUGCGUAGAGAUCGGGAGGAAUACCAGUGGCGAAGGCGGCCUUCUGGAAUGACACUGACGCUGAGGUGCGAAAGCGUGGGGAGCAAACAGGAUUAGAUACCCUUGUAGUC
rnacentral:rRNA from 1 species